rnacentral:misc_RNA from 1 species
GUUUGACACCCAGGAAGGCGUGAACCUCUGGCAGUUCUAUUAAAUUGAAUAGUGAAAGUCUUGAAUGGAGUAGCCGAGAAGCCCCUACCCAAUGCUUUAACAUAUGCCUCCUUCAGAGUCCACAAUUUUAUGAAUUCCUGCCGCUGGCUUUCAGGAUCUGAAAUAGCAGAUAAAACUUCUAUUUCAUUUGGCGAAAAGAAACGUUUAGCAAAAGCUAUGAUGUUGUUCUUUAUCUUUCUUGUCUUCUCUUCCACAUCUAUACCAAUUGGAGAAUGCAAAGUCACUCCACAUGCUAUCAUGGAUGAAGAAUGUGAGAUGUUGAAUUGCAAUGGUGGUAGACAUA